GGGGAAUAUUGCGCAAUGGGGGAAACCCUGACGCAGCAACGCCGCGUGAGCGAUGAAGGCCUUCGGGUCGUAAAGCUCUGUCUUUAGGGACGAUAAUGACGGUACCUAAGGAGGAAGCCACGGCUAACUACGUGCCAGCAGCCGCGGUAAUACGUAGGUGGCGAGCGUUGUCCGGAAUUACUGGGCGUAAAGGGUGCGUAGGCGGAUGUUUAAGUCAGAUGUGAAAUCCCUGGGCUCAACCCGGGAAUAGCAUUUGAAACUGGAUAUCUGGAGUGCAGGAGAGGAAAGCGGAAUUCCUAGUGUAGCGGUGAAAUGCGUAGAUAUUAGGAAGAACACCAGUGGCGAAGGCGGCUUUCUGGACUGUAACUGACGCUGAGGCACGAAAGCGUGGGGAGCAAAC
rnacentral:rRNA from 1 species